CAGUAGCCGCGGUAAUACGGAGGGUGCAAGCGUUAAUCGGAAUUACUGGGCGUAAAGCGCACGCAGGCGGUCUGACAAGUCAGAUGUGAAAUCCCCGGGCUUAACCUGGGAACUGCAUUUGAAACUGUCAGGCUGGAGUCUUGUAGAGGGGGGUGGAAUUCCAGGUGUAGCGGUGAAAUGCGUAGAGAUCUGGAGGAAUACCGGUGGCGAAGGCGGCCCCCUGGACAAAGACUGACGCUCAGGUGCGAAAGCGUGGGGAGCAAACAGGAUUAGAUACCCCGGUAGUCCCUGUCUCUUAUAC
rnacentral:rRNA from 1 species